rnacentral:rRNA from 1 species
GACAGAGGGUGCAAACGUUGUUCGGAAUUACUGGGCGUAAAGCGCGUGUAGGCUGCUUCGCAAGUCGGAUGUGAAAGCCCGGGGCUCACCCCCGGAAGUGCAUUGGAAACUGGUGGACUCGAGUCCCGGAGAGGAGAGUGGAAUUCCUGGUGUAGCGGUGAAAUGCGUAGAUAUCAGGAGGAACACCGGUGGCGAAGGCGGCUCUCUGGACGGUGACUGACGCUGAGACGCGAAAGCGUGGGGAGCAAACAGG